rnacentral:misc_RNA from 1 species
CCCUAGCCCAGAUUGAAGCAAUUGUCUGAGCUCAUUUUUUAGUUUCCGGCGGCGGCUCCGCCGCCGGAAACUAAAAAAUAGCGAGUGCGGAAAGCUGGAAAAUGC